CUCACUUUGGGGAAAAACACUAGUAAAAUUGGAACUAUAUACAGAGAUUAGCAUGGUCCUGCACCAAGGAUGAACACGCAAAUGUGUGAAGUAUUCCCUAUAUUU
rnacentral:snRNA from 1 species